AAUAAGUGUAAUUUUACACUAUUCACGUUCAACAUUUGACCGUUCGUCUUAUUUGAAUUUUUUUUAGAUUAAUAUUUUUAUUGCUAUUAGAUGAUAAAACAUGAAUAAUACUUUAUGUGUGACUAAAUAUUUUUAAAUUUUUUAAAUAAGACGGACGGUCAAAUAUUAGACACGAAUAUUUACGGCUGUACUUAUU
rnacentral:pre_miRNA from 1 species